rnacentral:rRNA from 1 species
CUGGAGACAGGUGCUGCAUGGCUGUCGUCAGCUCGUGUCGUGAGAUGUUGGGUUAAGUCCCGCAACGAGCGCAACCCUUGCCUUUAGUUGCCAGCAGUUCGGCUGGGCACUCUAAAGGGACUGCCGGUGUUAAACCGGAGGAAGGUGGGGAUGACGUCAAGUCCUCAUGGCCCUUAUGACCAGGGCUACACACGUACUACAAUGGCCGAUACAAAGGGCAGCGACACUGCGAGGUGAAGCCAAUCCCGUAAAAUCGGUCUCAGUCCGGAUUGGAGUCUGCAACUCGACUCCAUGAAGUUGGAAUCGCUAGUAAUCGUGGAUCAGCAUGCCACGGUGAAUACGUUCCCGGGCCUU